rnacentral:lncRNA from 1 species
CAAGUUAAAAAUAUUUACAAAUCUACAUAUUUUAUAUAGAUUUGUCAAGGCCUUUUGUCUUAGUGGGAGCUGUUUUUGUCUCCACAGGAACACUUUCCUGCUACACAGUGUUUAUUACUAACACUUCACAAACAUUCCAUAAUAUAUAAGAAGUACACAAAUACAACAGCUAUAUUAAAAGGGUACUGUUCAAAAAUCUAAACCCCAUUGGAAGUGGCAAACAAAAGCAUCCAGUCAGCUCUAUUCUACAGCAGAUGAGUAUAAUAUUAGUUGCAGGUGCUCAGCCUUUCAGCUUGUCUCUCUCAGCCUGAUGUGUCCUUUAAGAGGCAAUGGCACAUAUUGCUGCACAUGUUCAGUUGCUCUACCUUUGUGCUGCAGCUCUUUACCCUGUAAAAUGUUCUUCUCAGUACACAAAAGCAGCUGCUGAAGAAACUGCUUCAGACCGAGGGUGAGAGAACUGAUGGCAGGAUCACUAAGCAAACUCCAGUAGAGACUGAGAGAACGAGAGGGUGCAGAGACACCGAAGGAGCUUCUGUGAAAAACAAAAAUAUCAGCAUUAUUGCCUGUCAUCAAACCCAGAUCCUAUACUCCAGAACUCUGAAACAGACUGAACCACAACAAAGAAGAUCUUACUUGAAGUCUUAAUCACCUUGAAUUCAGAUGACUCUGCUGUGACAUGGAAUAUGAUGUAAUAUGAGGGACUGAAUUUCCCUUCUUAGAGUUGGCUGUGCCACCUAGGGCUUCCCUGAUGGCACAGUACCCAGGAUAACCUUGCCCUGUUCCUAGAAUCUACCACUGGACCUUCCAGGUAUAUGUUCCUCUGAGGUUUCAAAAUGCAUCGUCCAAACAGAAACAGAGUUGAUCCCCC